AUUGAACGCUGGCGGAAUGCUUUACACAUGCAAGUCGAACGAGACCUUCGGGUCUAGUGGCGCACGGGUGCGUAACGCGUGGGAAUCUACCCUUGGGUUCGGAAUAACAGUUAGAAAUGACUGCUAAUACCGGAUGAUGACGUAAGUCCAAAGAUUUAUCGCCCAAGGAUGAGCCCGCGUGAGAUUAGCUUGUUGGUGGGGUAAUGGCCUACCAAGGCGACGAUCUUUAGCUGGUCUGAGAGGAUGAUCAGCCACACUGGGACUGAGACACGGCCCAGACUCCUACGGGAGGCAGCAGUGGGGAAUAUUGGACAAUGGGCGAAAGCCUGAUCCAGCAAUGCCGCGUGAGUGAUGAAGGCCUUAGGGUUGUAAAGCUCUUUUACCAGGGAUGAUAAUGACAGUACCUGGAGAAUAAGCUCCGGCUAACUCCGUGCCAGCCGCCGCAGUAA
rnacentral:rRNA from 1 species